rnacentral:lncRNA from 1 species
UCGGGCUUUUCCGGGACUGUUAUCAGCCAUUCGCUAUGGCUUUUAGCUCUUCCCUCGCCUCCUCUUUUGGCGCAUAUAACCGUUAUUCCCUGAAAGGUGAAUUGCUUUUUCUAGUGAUGAACAUUGUCAUUAUACAAAGUGGUUAUUUAGAUUCUAUAUGAAACUUACUUACAUCUUUGGAGUUUAUCGAAAAAUUAUUGAAAGCAACCGUUUGCUUGUCAUCAAAGACAUUGAAAGCCUCCGGGAACUGCAAUGUCAAACUCCAAUAAUGAAUGAAUGAACACAAAAGAAAUGUAUUUGUGCUAUGUUGAUUUAUGUAACUUAAAAAUUGGGCCGACCUUGGCCAGAUAGUGUUGAUUGGCCUUAUUGGGCCGGCGAGAAGAGAGAAGACAAGAGCCGGUGAAUAAUUGGUCGCCGAGAUCGUAGAGAUGGUGGCGGAGGAGGUCGGUGUCGAGAUCGGAAGAGUUGUCUUGUCUCACAACCACCACGUCUUGGC